CAAAUAUGUUGAUGGCUGGCAUUUAAGAUAUUCCAAUUGGGAUUAUGGUGAACCACGAAGAGACGGGGCUUGUGUGUAUGUGGACAAAGAUGGAAAGUGGAAAACAGCUUCCUGCAAUCGCACCAUGAACAGUGUUUGUAUGCAGUCUACAGCUGUGCCACCAACAGAGUCCAGUGAGUUCCCAGGACAGUGCCCUGAAGAUCCAGAAUUAUCAAUGGCCAGAGAAACACCUGGUUACCAUUUAAGGGCUAUUGUUAUAUCUUUUUCCCCAAUGGAGAUAGGUGGUCGGAUGCAGCUACCAAUUGUGUAAGACACAGUGGUGCACUAACCAGCAUUGAAAACCCUGAUGAGCAACAAUUCAUCCAAACACAACUAAAAAGAUUUGAAGACAGUCAUAAUUCUUUUGGAUCGGCCUUUUUCAAAAUCAGAGAGGUGAGUGGAAGUGGC